ensembl:lncRNA
GAGCCAACCCGGGACGUAGCCGAAUGCCCCUCGAGGAGCAGGCCUUCAGGCUAUGGGCCUGGGCGAUCGAUGCCCUGUGGCCUUUUUGGUGGAAGGAAAGGGCAGAGCAGAGCCCCGGCUGCCGUUGCAGGAGAAUAUCUGGAAUCAAUGGGUAUACUUGAGAAAGACAGCUUGAACAUUGAAUUGGAAGCCCACUUCAUCAACUCCCUGGGGCUGGAAAUGCAUCACAUCCUGCAAAGAGACAAUCACCUAACAUGCUGCUCUGAAUCUGUGGAUCUAAGCUAUUGUCUUUAUGCUACCAGUGGGAUGGAUGACCACCACUGGCUGCUCGUGGCUCGUUGCUGCUUGCUGUUGGCUGUUUUAGCUGCAGCUCAAGUUGGGCACAGUGGAGGACAAAUUGGGACAGAUCUUGUGUAAAUGCAGUGACCGUGGAACAACAUGGAGCCAGCAGGAUGGGACACAGGCUGUUGCUGUUCUGAGAGAGUCUUUCAGCUGGAAUUGGACUGGAAUGGUAGUAGCUUCUAUGAACCUCAGCUCCUGGUGAGAUCGGACCAACAAGACCGAUCCCAAACUCUAGUGUUAUUCUCCUGUUUUCUCUGGUUGUUCACAGAGCUGAUUUCAGCAAGUUCCAAAGACAAUUCUUUCCCUUAUUCUUUUCUGCAUCUAUAAGCUGGGAGGAGGUUUGGGGGGAGAUAAAUCAAGGGAAGCAGUUUCUUUACAACUUUGCUGUAUGACAGCUCCUUUACUGUGUUUUAAUAAACUAUGUGGCCGCUGAAAAGCA